AUGUCUCUUCGUGCACUGGCUAUGGUUCAUGCAGAGAACGGGGAUGCUGUUGCUGAGGGACAGCAGCAGAUGAUUGACCUUGGGAUAACUGGUCCAGAAGGGCAUGCUCUCUCAAGACCUCCAGUUUUGGAAGGCGAGGCUACUUCACGGGCAAUUCGAUUAGCAAAAUUCGUCAAUACACCGUUGUAUGUUGUUCAUGUGAUGAGUACUGAUGCAAUGGAAGAGAUUGCCAAGGCUAAAAGAGAAGGUCAGAGAGUCAUCGGGGAACCUAUGGUAUCUGGGCUAGUCCUUGAUGAUUCUUGGCUUUGGGAUCCUGACUUUGCAACUGCUUCAAAGUAUGUGAUGAGUCCUCCAAUCCGGGAAGCAGGGCAUAAUAAAGCACUUCAAGCUGCUCUUUCAUCAGGAAUAUUACAGCUUGUGGGAACUGAUCAUUGCACCUUCAAUUCCACUCAGAAAGCUUUCGGUUCUGAUGAUUUCAGGAAGAUUCCCAAUGGCGUAAAUGGUAUUGAAGAAAGGAUGCAUAUAAUUUGGGAUAGCAUGGUGGAGACCGGCACAAGCACAAGCAACCAAAUCAAGCCUACCAUGCUCCAGCAAAGAUAG
rnacentral:rRNA from 1 species